CUCAAUUUUCUUUAAUAAUCAAAAUUGUCUUGUAGCCAAAAGAAACACAAGAACAAUUUUUUAUUUCGACUAUAGAAUUAUUCAUGAAAAAACUUUGCUAUUUACACUAAAAUAAAAUAUAUGUUUUUUAAUGUUAAAAAAUAUAAUUUUAUCACUAAAAAAGUUUGCUAUCAUCUGGUCAUCAUGGAUGAGUUUCAAUUGAUUCAGCUUCUAUCUCCGAAAAUAGUUUUUCUUCAACACCGAUCGAAAAUCCGUUCCCUUCAUCACCGAAUGAAACCGCUUUUCAUCUCUUCUUCGUAAACCCCCAACCUCUCUUCGUUCCAUUAUCUCAAAAUCGCUUGCUGUCUAAGGGAAAUUCUGUUUAAGAGCAACAUGCAGCUACCUCACACCUCUUUCCCAAAAAGGGGAGUUAGGGUUCCACCAUUGAAGAGGCAAGCGAUGUCAAGUUUUGGAUUUCCUUUUCAAAUCGUUCUAGUAGGACUUGAUGAAAGAGGCUGCCCAUGGAGUCAUAUAAGGAAUGAAGAAUGCUACUAUCUCAUACUCAUGGAGUCGUACGAGGAAUGAAGAAUGGUACUGUCUCAUAUAACCAAAUUAUAUCAUACUCAGUUUUUAGAUGAAGUGAUUUAAAACUGGAGUUUAAUUUGCAUUUUAAUUAAUUGAUAUGUGAGUUUGCAACUUAAAAGAUUUUUUUCCAGGCCAGUUCCUGUGAUUCUCAAUGAACUUCUAUCUAGAUGUAUCAUAUUUCUAUGUGCUUAUUUUGUAUUACCUAGGGGACAUGCAAAUUUUCAUUAAUGUCUAUAUGUUUUGUACUGUA